GACGAACGCUGGCGGCGUGCCUAAUACAUGCAAGUUGAGCGCUGAAGGUUGGUACUUGUACCGACUGGAUGAGCAGCGAACGGGUGAGUGACGCGUGGGGAAUCUGCCUUUGAGCGGGGGACAACGUUUGGAAACGAAUGCUAAUACCGCAUAAAAACUUUAAACACAAGUUUUAAGUUUGAAAGAUGCAAUUGCAUCACUCAAAGAUGAUCCCGCGUUGUAUUAGCUAGUUGGUGAGGUAAAGGCUCACCAAGGCGAUGAUACAUAGCCGACCUGAGAGGGUGAUCGGCCACAUUGGGACUGAGACACGGCCCAAACUCCUACGGGAGGCAGCAGUAGGGAAUCUUCGGCAAUGGACGAAAGUCUGACCGAGCAACGCCGCGUGAGUGAAGAAGGUUUUCGGAUCGUAAAACUCUGUUGGUAGAGAAGAACGUUGGUGAGAGUGGAAAGCUCAUCAAGUGACGGUAACUACCCAGAAAGGGACGGCUAACUACGUGCCAGCAGCCGCAGUAA
rnacentral:rRNA from 1 species